AUGAACGCUGGCGGCGUGCCUAAUCCAUGCAAGUCGAGCGAACAGAUGAGGAGCUUGCUCCUCUGACGUUAGCGGCGGACGGGUGAGUAACACGUGGAUAACCUACCUAUAAGACUGGGAUAACUUCGGGAAACCGGAGCUAAUACCGGAUAAUAUAUUGAACCGCGUGGUUCAAUAGUGAAAGACGGUUUUGCUGUCACUUAUAGAUGGAUCCGCGCCGCAUUAGCUAGUUGGUAAGGUAACGGCUUACCAAGGCAACGAUGCGUAGCCGACCUGAGAGGGUGAUCGGCCACACUGGAACUGAGACACGGUCCAGACUCCUACGGGAGGCAGCAGUAGGGAAUCUUCUGCAAUGGGCGAAAGCCUGACGGAGCAACGCCGCGUGAGUGAUGAAGGUCUUCGGAUCGUAAAACUCUGUUAUUAGGGAAGAACAAAUGUGUAAGUAACUAUGCACGUCUUGACGGUACCUAAUCAGAAAGCCACGGCUAACUACGUG
rnacentral:rRNA from 1 species